GGCCUGCCUCUGGAAGGGGCUGGACCUUUCCGCGAGAAAACAAAACAUUUACGGAUGGAAAGCAGGGCUGACAGGUGUCAUCUGUCUGAGUGUGGCCAGGGUAAGCGGGCACCCUUGCAGGCAGGAGCUAGAAACUCUUUGGAGAAGGCACAGGCGGCUCAGGGGGCGGAAGAGGCCUAGGGCCCCUGCCCGGCGCGCCCGCCUGGGGCCGUCGGGCUGGUUCACGUGCCCCUGCGUUCCGUGCAGCUGGGCCCAGCAGAUCCUCUGGCAGGGAACCUCUGGAUUUUGUGGCUCUGGGCGUCUGUGGACCAGAACUUUUGGUUUUAAGUCAUUUUUGAUAGAAAUGUUUCUGUGGUUACGUUCCUUCUCUCCCGAAUCCUUGCGCCUCCAGCAUCUGCGUAGAACCCAUGGUCACAGUUGGGUGGCCAGCUCCCUGGGCGGCCACGGUGGGCCUCCUGCCAGGCCAGGCAACUGUGCCAUGGGGCCUGGGCUCCGAGCGCUGGGUCAGCACAGGCCGCUGGCAUCCGGGGUUCUUGUCUGCUUUGCGAGGCAUUGUCUUCCUUCGUAAUUUCCUAGUUUUUUCUCCCCUGUGCACUUAAAGCAGCGCCCCCCCCCCCCAACUUUCUUGGCUGAUCCAGUGACCCUCGACCCUGGAAGGAUGGGUGGGGGAGGGGACAGGGAGGAUGUGUCUGGGCCUUGGGGGUGGGACCCAAGAACGGGGGUCAGCAGACUGCAGCCUGUGGCCGCCCUUGCGUAGCCCGCGCUUGCGUAGCCCACCUGUGAGGCUGGAAAAGUACAGAGAAGGUCUCCUUUCACCUGAAACUGAACCGUCAGUAGAGCCGCUGGAGCCUGGCCCGCCCGUCCCCUGUGCCAGCGUCGGAGUCGUCCGGGGAUGGGUUUGCCGACCCCCGCCCUGACGCUGGGGUGCACCCUUGGGACCUUGACCUAGCCCUGGAUGCCCAGGGUCCCCAGGUUCCCCUCUGUGAGGGACCUGGGUGAGGCACCAGGUGUUCAGGGGGCAGGCCCGCCCCUCGGCCACAGUCACUCGAUUGUCGCUGGAGGCACAGGUGGCCCGCAGCGCACUGGUGUGAGAGGAGCAGAGCGUGCAGGGUGGGUGUCCUGGUGGGGGGGCCCUGCUGGCGGCAUUGGGAGCCAGUGGGAAGAGUCGAGCAGGAAAAGGAAGCUGAGAGGCUGCGUGCUGUGUGUUUUCUGCGCACUGUUGCCUUUGCACACUGGUUCCCACGAACGGCUCAGUGAUUUGGGGGAGGGGCCUGGCCUCUGGGGUGAAGCAGCGAGGGCUCUGUGUGCGCAGUGGGCCUGCAGGGAUUCUGCGCUUUGGCCAGAAUCAUCCCUUCCCCCUGCGGGUCUCCUGCAAGGAGCACCGCUUGAGGCCACCAGCUCGCCCACAGAGCCGGCCCCAGGGGAGGGAGAGUGGCAGGCGACCCCCAGCAGCGGACACUUGGUAGUCCGGCUGCGUGUCUGGGGUCAGGUGGUGGCCCUGUUCCUGUCCUGGACGUGAUGGCACCUGUGCUGUGAGCUGACCGAGGGCCCCCAGGCCGAGCAUCUCUGGGGGGGGCGGAGGACGGAACUCUGCCUGCCUGUGUGUCUGCUGUCCUGGUCCCUUGACCAUUUACCUCUUUCAGACUCCUGUUCUCUGGCACCUUUGAACUCAGUGUCUUUGGCCUAAGAGCUGUUCUUGCCUGACGCCCAAAUGCCUUCUGCUGGGGUCAGAGUGGGCUGUUUCCGUGGGGAUGCGGCCCUCAGGCAUCACAUGAACUGUUUUCAGUAAAACUCAGAGCUGCAGCUCAUCCGUGCUCCUCCUCAUGUAGGACUGAUUUCAGGCAACGAGCUACUGAGAACUGGUCCUAAGUGUGAUUACCUAAUGCACACAGAGCAUAGGCCCUAAACGUAUUGUAAAACCAUCAUUAAAAUCUGUUUCCCAACCUUUGCUUUUUAGGUGAUUGAAAACUUGGCCUCAGAGCAAAGAAUUCACUAGUUACGAUUCAACGUGUUCAACAGAAGCCAUCCCCAACCCAGCUUAAAUUAUAAAUAGAGAAAAUAACUUUGUUCAAAUCUGCGUGGUGCUUCUUUAGUAAAUACUGUACAGAUUUUACCAUGGAGGACUUUUUUUUUUAGUUUUUACCUUUUCUUAAUUACCCUUAUUCCAAAUGGACGAACACUUUCUACAACUGCUGACCACUGUAAAAUACUGUGUAUAUAAAUCACAUUGAAAUAACGCCCUGGACUAGAACAUCUCAAAUGCUGCUUAAUCACAGACUCAGGUUGAUCACUCGUAUUCCAUGUAACGCUCCUCCGAGUUAGCUAGCCGGUGCAAGACCAGCCGGGACACCAUGGAAUUAUUAAAAGUACAAACUGACAGUGUGUAUAUUUAAUUUAAAAACUUAUUUAAAGAUUCACACGCUCUCAAUGAGACUUUUGAGAGCAGUCUGUUUUCUGUAAUGUCUGAUACUAGAAACUAAUUUGCUUCAUAUUUUAGUUGUAUUCAAGAUUUGAAGAUGUAUUUUAUAGACAAGUUCUGUUUUUGAACUUCGUGGAACUAUUCCAAUCAAUUUACCAGUUAUGAUGCGUAUUUACAUUAUGAAUGUAUAAUCCAAACAUUAUUUGUAAGGCCUACAGUAUGUUUUUAUUACCUAACUUUUUUAUACAGUGUCUCUUGUCUUGACUAUGAUAUUGGAGUCUGAGUUGUCGGCUUGGUCCCUUAAAGUUUCUAGUUACAGACAAAAUCAUACUGUGAUUUUAUUUUUAAUAUGGAUAUGCUAUCAAACUGUGAUACACUUAUAAUUCACUGGUCCUGCAUCAGGAGAUGGAGUGGGGAAAACUGUAUUUGAUACAGUUCGUAUCUGAAUAAUCUGUAUGGUUUAUACAGUUUGUGUUGUUCAGAGAUGUCUAAAGAAGUUUGAUCUUUGUUUUUUUAAAGAUUAAAAAAGCACUUGCCCCACUGUAAAUAUACAGCAUGGAAAAUUUAUAUAGUAUAUAAAUGGCAGCAAAU
rnacentral:lncRNA from 1 species